CAGGGAGACAACAAAAUGUUUAAUAUUAUUAUUUUGUCACCUUAGGUCGAUCGGUAUCUCACGUUUUUAAUUUAUUAAGAAUUUCAUUUCCUAAGUUUUUCUAGGUCACACCCAUAUUUUUCCUGGGCCAUUAGCUCAGGUGGUUAGAGCGCACCCCUGAUAAGGGUGAGGUCCCUGGUUCAAGUCCAGGAUGGCCCAUAUCUCUAUGUUGGGGGUAUAGCUCAGUUGGUAGAGCGCCUGCUUUGCAAGCAGGAUGUCAGCGGUUCGAGUCCGCUUACCUCCACUGAUUACCACCUCUUCCAUAAACGGUAGAAAGGAAAUUUUUUGAGUUGUGACCAAAUUCUGAAAGAAUCUAGCUUCCUAAUGCAAUCAUUAAGAUGCUGGACUCAUUGAAUUAAUUUCAUUGUUUUCAGAGAACCUUGACAACUGCAUAGAUUAUUUUUAAAGACAAUAAGCAUCUUUAAUGAUGCAGAUUUAUUAUUUGUGCGAAUGCAUUAAUAACAAUUCUAUUAAGCUGAUGCUUCAAUUUUGAAGUUAUU
rnacentral:tRNA from 1 species